UGCCAAAAGUGAAAGUGUGCUUUAUUUGUGGAAAAUUGGAGGAAUGACAGAAAAAAAUUGCCAAACCUGGGUUGACGAGAGCAUCAAGGUUGUGCGAGGCACAUUUUGAGAAAAGUGAAAUUCAUAAAGGAACUCAAGUAGGCAACGACUUUGUUCCAGCAAAAAAAAAUCGUUUGUUAACGAAAAAUGUAGUGCCCACAAAAAAUUUGGCAGAGCAAUCUUGAAUCGGACUAGAAUGGCCUUACAGCCAUGUAUCCUUAACAUUGGAUCAACAGCAGAUACGUAUAAAUGUUAAGAUGUUCUAAAAAAAUAAUAAAAACCGAAAUAUUGUGAAACCCAGGAGGACCAAGGUUACGUACUGAACCAUGUACCAAAAUACAGAAGCCACAGCCAUAGCCAACAGAACUUGUUGGAGCUAUAACGAGUUUAGUUCAUCCAGAUGCAACAAUGACUGAUGGAUGCCACAAUGUGAUCCCUGAUGCUUCACGCUAUUCUUCUUGAGCUACUGAUGUUGCAGCUGACAAAAAGAAUGAAACAGCUUGCAAAACCGUGACAAGCGAAACAGUUGAAACAUCAACAAGCAAAGCUGGAUGCUGCGGAGUAACUUUUUGAACGAGUAAGGCGCCUCGAUCUGCAAUGAAUACUAAUUCAAACUGCAAAUAAAAUACAUAUUCAUUGCUUCUCGCAAGAGGAACGUGUUCAGGAAGAUUUUGCCAGAUUCCUGCAUCAAUUGUUCAAAGAAUUGCGCAAAGGUAGCAAAAUUGCAGGAAAAAAUAAAGGGAAAGGAAAAAACCAUUAGACGAUUAAGACAACAAAAUGCACGUCUAGUUUCAUAUUUCAACGAUAUGGCCGGAAAGAUCGAACAAUUUAAGGUGGAACUAAAGAACUUGACUGAGAAGUCACUGGAAAAAACAAAUAUGUCACUUGAAACCACAAGAGCAGGAAGUAAUUAGAACAUUCAUUGUGAAGGGACGGACACAGCUUACGUCGGAGAGUGGGAAGGCUUACUCUAUGUGAUAUGGUCCUGGCUUUUUACUCCAGUGUUUACUCUGGAAGAUGAAAAGCACCUCGGCGUAUAAACAUUUGAGGAAUAGAAGCAUACUUCCUCUUCCACAUCCAGAUACAAUCAGUAAAUUGCUGAGAUCAACUCCAUGCAAGUUUGGUUAUAACGAAAUCGUACUCGCUGUAUAAUUCGUCUACAAUGGACGUAAAUGUGGGAAUUGUCGAUAACGAGGAAAAAUACUGUUUUUUAUUGGAAUAUAAAGAUUGCCUAUUGAAAA
rnacentral:lncRNA from 1 species